AGCUUGCUCUUGAUGACGAGUGGCGCACGGGUGAGUAACGCGUAUGCAAACUACCUAUAACUGAGGGAUAGCCCAGAGAAAUUUGGAUUAAUACCUCAUAAUAAUAUUUUUUGGCAUCAUUAAAUAUUUAAAACCCCGGUGGUUAUAGAUGAGCAUGCGUUCUAUUAGUUUGUUGGUGAGGUAAAGGCUCACCAAGACUACGAUAGAUAGGGGGCCUGAAAGGGUGAUCCCCCACACUGGUACUGAGACACGGACCAGACUCCUACGGGAGGCAGCAGUGAGGAAUAUUGCACAAUGGAGGAAACUCUGAUGCAGCCAUGCCGCGUGCAGGAUGACGGCCCUAUGGGUUGUAAACUGCUUUUUUACAAGAAGAAACCUUGGUACGUGUACCAACUUGACGGUAUUGUAAGAAUAAGCACCGGCUAACUCCGUGCCAGCAGCCGCGGUAAUACGGAGGGUGCAAGCGUUAUCCGGAUUUAUUAGGUUUAAAGGGUUCGCAGGCGGAAUUUUAAGUCAGUGGUGAAAGCC
rnacentral:rRNA from 1 species